CUACGGGAUGCUCCAGUGGGGAAUAUUGGACAAUGGGCGCAAGCCUGAUCCAGCAAUGCCGCGUGAGUGAAGACGGCCUUAGGGUUGUAAAACUCUUUCGCUAGGGAAGAUAAUGACUGUACCUAGUAAAGAGGUCCCGGCUAACUCCGUGCCAGCAGCCGCGGUAAUACGGAGGGGACUAGCGUUGUUCGGAACUACUGGGCGUAAAGAGUUCGUAGGCGGACUGACAAGUUAGAGGUGAAAUCCCAGGGCUCAACCCUGGAACUGCCUUUAAAACUGUCAGUCUAGAGACCGGAAGAGGUUAGGGGAAUACCUAGUGUAGAGGUGAAAUUCGUAGAUAUUAGGUGGAACACCAGUGGCGAAGGCGCCUAACUGGUCCGGUACUGACGCUGAGGAACGAAAGCGUGGGGAGCAAACAGGAUUAGAUACCCCGGUAGUC
rnacentral:rRNA from 1 species